rnacentral:rRNA from 1 species
GACGAACCUUUGAGGCGUGCUUAACACAUGCAAGUCGAGCGGAAAGGCCCUGCUUUUGUGGGGUGCUCGAGUGGCGAACGGGUGAGUAACACGUGAGUAACCUGCCCUUGACUUUGGGAUAACUUCAGGAAACUGGGGCUAAUACCGGAUAGGAGCUCCUGCUGCAUGGUGGGGGUUGGAAAGUUUCGGCGGUUGGGGAUGGACUCGCGGCUUAUCAGCUUGUUGGUGGGGUAGUGGCUUACCAAGGCUUUGACGGGUAGCCGGCCUGAGAGGGUGACCGGCCACAUUGGGACUGAGAUACGGCCCAGACUCCUACGGGAGGCAGCAGUGGGGAAUAUUGCACAAUGGGCGGAAGCCUGAUGCAGCAACGCCGCGUGCGGGAUGACGGCCUUCGGGUUGUAAACCGCUUUCGCCUGUGACGAAGCGUGAGUGACGGUAAUGGGUAAAGAAGCACCGGCUAACUACGUGCCAGCAGCCGCGGUGAUACGUAGGGUGCGAGCGUUGUCCGGAUUUAUUGGGCGUAAAGGGCUCGUAGGUGGUUGAUCGCGUCGGAAGUGUAAUCUUGGGGCUUAACCCUGAGCGUGCUUUCGAUACGGGUUGACUUGAGGAAGGUAGGGGAGAAUGGAAUUCCUGGUGGAGCGGUGGAAUGCGCAGAUAUCAGGAGGAACACCAGUGGCGAAGGCGGUUCUCUGGGCCUUUCCUGACGCUGAGGAGCGAAAGCGUGGGGAGCGAACAGGCUUAGAUACCCUGGUAGUCCACGCUGUAAACGGUGGGUACUAGGUGUGGGGUCCAUUCCACGGGUUCCGUGCCGUAGCUAACGCUUUAAGUACCCCGCCUGGGGAGUACGGCCGCAAGGCUAAAACUCAAAGGAAUUGACGGGGCCCCGCACAAGCGGCGGAGCAUGCGGAUUAAUUCGAUGCAACGCGUAGAACCUUACCUGGGUUUGACAUGGAUCGGGAGUGCUCAGAGAUGGGUGUGCCUCUUUUGGGGUCGGUUCACAGGUGGUGCAUGCCUGUCGUCAGCUCGUGUCGUGAGAUGUUGGGUUAAGUCCCGCAACGAGCGCAACCCUUGUUCACUGUUGCCAGCACGUUAUGGUGGGGACUCAGUGGAGACCGCCGGGGUCAACUCGGAGGAAGGUGGGGAUGACGUCAAGUCCUCAUGCCCCUUAUGUCCAGGGCUUCACGCAUGCUACAAUGGCUGGUACAGAGAGUGGCGAGCCUGUGAGGGUGAGCGAAUCUCGGAAAGCCGGUCUCAGUUCGGAUUGGGGUCUGCAACUCGACCUCAUGAAGUCGGAGUCGCUAGUAAUCGCAGAUCGGCAACGCUGCGGUGAAUACGUUCCCGGGGC